UACGUAGGGUGCGAGCGUUGUCCGGAAUUAUUGGGCGUAAAGGGCUCGUAGGCGGUCUGUCGCGUCGGGAGUGAAAACUCAGGGCUUAACCCUGAGCCUGCUUCCGAUACGGGCAGACUAGAGGAAUGCAGGGGAGAACGGAAUUCCUGGUGUAGCGGUGGAAUGCGCAGAUAUCAGGAGGAACACCUAUAGCGAAGGCAGCUUGCUGGGACGUUACUGACGCUAAGGCGCGAAAGCGUGGGGAGCGAACAGG
rnacentral:rRNA from 1 species